AGAGUUUGAUCCUGGCUCAGGACGAACGCUGGCGGCAUGCCUAACACAUGCAAGUCGAACGGUAAGGCCCUCUUCGGAGGGUACACGAGUGGCGAACGGGUGAGUAACACGUGGGUAACCUGCCCUUCACUGGGGGACAACCGAGGGAAACUUCGGCUAAUACCGCAUGAUGUGCAUCUUCAUAAGUGGAUGUACCAAAACUCCGGUGGUGAAGGAUGGGCCCGCGGCGGAUUAGCUAGUUGGUGGGGUAAUGGCCUACCAAGGCGACGAUCCGUAGCUGGUCUGAGAGGACGAUCAGCCACACUGGGACUGAGACACGGCCCAGACUCCUACGGGAGGCAGCAGUGGGGAAUCUUGCGCAAUGGGCGAAAGCCUGACGCAGCAAUGCCGCGUGAGGGAAGACGGUCUUAGGGUUGUAAACCUCUUUCAGCAGGGACGAAAACAGACGGUACCUGCAGAAGAAGCCCCGGCUAACUACGUGCCAGCAGCCGCGGUAAUACGUAGGGGGCGAGCGUUGUCCGGAAUCAUUGGGCGUAAAGCGUGCGUAGGCGGUAGCGUCAGUCAGCCGUGAAAGCCCCGGGCUUAACCUGGGAACGGCGGUUGAGACGGCGCAACUAGAGUGGGCUAGAGGAUCGUGGAAUUCCGGGUGUAGCGGUGAAAUGCGUAGAGAUCCGGAGGAACACCGAUGGCGAAGGCAGCGGUCUGGGGCCACACUGACGCUGAGGCACGACAGCGUGGGGAGCAAACAGGAUUAGAUACCCCGGUAGU
rnacentral:rRNA from 1 species